rnacentral:rRNA from 1 species
AUGGCGAGUCGAGUGGGGCGUGGCGGUGACCGGGCCAACCCCGAUGCUGCCCAGGCGGGCUAUUGUGGCGGCGGCGGCGAGCCGUACUAUGGAGGCCGCGGUGGUGGACGAGCAGCGGCAAUCCCAAUGGCGUUCUACCGAGGACAGGGAGGCGGUGAGCCGGUGACCGUGCCGGUGACGGCGACCGCGGCCGUGGUUACUACAAGGGAGAUGGCGGUGGCCGUGGGUACUACCAAGCAGGCGGUGAUGGCGGCUGUGGCCGUGGGUACUGCCAAAGAGGCUGCAAGAGCCUGUACACUGCCGACGAGCUGCGGUUCAACACCAAGGAAUUUGAGGAGAGAUCUCAUACGUGGCACUAAUGGUCUUCAUUAUCUGAAGAUUAAGAAGGCCCUCAGGGGUCCGAGAGUUGUGGUCACCCACCAAGUAGAGGUGCGCAGGAAAUACCGCAUCGCUGGCUUGACAAAUCAGUCUAGCAGAGAUUCGAGGUUCGAAUUAUCGACCGGCGAAACCAAGCCUGUGAGGGACUUCUUUCGAGGAACCUACAAGCUGCAACUACGUUACGUUUUCUCCCCUGCCUGCAAGUUGGUACAGAGCAGAAACCCAACUAUCUUCCAGUGGAGGUCUGCAAUAUAUAGUUUCAGGACAGCGGUACCAAAAGAAGCUCGAUGA